GCGCGAGUGGUGGAAUGGCAGACACGCUGGUCUUAGAAACCAGUGGAGUAAUCCGUGUGGGUUCAAGUCCCACCUUGCGCACCA
rnacentral:tRNA from 1 species